GACGAACGCUGGCGGCGUGCUUAACACAUGCAAGUCGAACGGAAAGGCCCUGCUUUUGUGGGGUGCUCGAGUGGCGAACGGGUGAGUAACACGUGAGUAACCUGCCCUUGACUUUGGGAUAACUUCAGGAAACUGGGGCUAAUACCGGAUAGGAGCUCCUGCUGCAUGGUGGGGGUUGGAAAGUUUCGGCGGUUUGGGAUGGACUCGCGGCUUAUCAGCUUGUUGGUGGGGUAGUGGCUUACCAAGGCUUUGACGGGUAGCCGGCCUGCGAGGGUGACCGGCCACAUUGGGACUGAGAUACGGCCCAGACUCCUACGUGAGGCAGUAGGGGGGAAUAUUGCACAAUGGGCGGAAGCCUGAUGCAGCAACGCCGCGUUCGGGAAGACGGCCUUCGGGUUAUAAACCGCUUUCGCCUGUGACGAAGCGUGAGUGACGGUAAUGGGUAAAGAAGCACCGGCUAACUACGUG
rnacentral:rRNA from 1 species